UACGUAGGGUGCGAGCGUUGUCCGGAAUUAUUGGGCGUAAAGGGCGCGUAGGCGGCCCGCCGCGUCCGGGGUGAAAUCCUCCCGCUCAACGGGAGAACGGCCUCGGAUACGGGCGGGCUGGAGGCGGGUAGGGGCAGGCGGAACUGUGGGUGGAGCGGUGAAAUGCGCAGAUAUCAGGAGGAACACCGGUGGCGAAGGCGGUUCUCUGGGCAUUACCUGACGCUGAGGAGCGAAAGCAUGGGGAGCGAACAGG
rnacentral:rRNA from 1 species